rnacentral:lncRNA from 1 species
GAGUCCAAAUUCGAUGGGCAAUCGGGCAUCAAAAUUCAUCGAUAUGUAACCCUGAUCGAAAAGUCCCAACCAGUGGGACUCUUGACCCCGGUACCCAUAAUGUAUGAAACUCGUGAUUAGAGAAUCCUGAUUCUCGAUCACUGAGUCUGAAAUAUGUAGGAUUCUACAUCAGCCAUCAGAUCAGAUAGGAACCUCUAAUAUGUGUGACCCCACAGGUUCGAACCUAAGCCGGUAGCACAGGAACCAAUUUCUGUACUAAUCGAAGUGACCAUCUAGCAAUGGUACCCGAC